AGCGGCGGACGGGUGAGUAACACGUGGGUAACCUGCCUGUAAGACUGGGAUAACUCCGGGAAACCGGGGCUAAUACCGGAUGGUUGUUUGAACCGCAUGGUUCAAACAUAAAAGGUGGCUUCGGCUACCACUUACAGAUGGACCCGCGGCGCAUUAGCUAGUUGGUGAGGUAACGGCUCACCAAGGCAACGAUGCGUAGCCGACCUGAGAGGGUGAUCGGCCACACUGGGACUGAGACACGGCCCAGACUCCUACGGGAGGCAGCAGUAGGGAAUCUUCCGCAAUGGACGAAAGUCUGACGGAGCAACGCCGCGUGAGUGAUGAAGGUUUUCGGAUCGUAAAGCUCUGUUGUUAGGGAAGAACAAGUACCGUUCGAAUAGGGCGGUACCUUGACGGUACCUAACCAGAAAGCCACGGCUAACUACGUGCCAGCAGCCGCGGUAAUACGUAGGUGGCAAGCGUUGUCCGGAAUUAUUGGGCGUAAAGGGCUCGCAGGCGGUUUCUUAAGUCUGAUGUGAAAGCCCCCGGCUCAACCGGGGAGGGUCAUUGGAAACUGGGGAACUUGAGUGCAGAAGAGGAGAGUGGAAUUCCACGUGUAGCGGUGAAAUGCGUAGAGAUGUGGAGGAACACCAGUGGCGAAGGCGACUCUCUGGUCUGUAACUGACGCUGAGGAGCGAAAGCGUGGGGAGCGAACAGGAUUAGAUACCCUGGUAGUCCACGCCGUAAAACGAUGAGUGCUAAGUGUUAGGGGGUUUCCGCCCCUUAGUGCUGCAGCUAACGCAUUAAGCACUCCGCCUGGGG
rnacentral:rRNA from 1 species